GACGAACGCUGGCGGCGUGCUUAACACAUGCAAGUCGAACGGAAAGGCCCUGCUUUUGUGGGGUGCUCGAGUGGCGAACGGGUGAGUAACACGUGAGUAACCUGCCCUUGACUUUGGGAUAACUUCAGGAAACUGGGGCUAAUACCGGAUAGGAGCUCCUGCUGCAUGGUGGGGGUUGGAAAGUUUCGGCGGUUGGGGAUGGACUCGCGGCUUAUCAGCUUGUUGGUGGGGUAGUGGCUUACCAAGGCUUUGACGGGUAGCCGGCCUGAGAGGGUGACCGGCCACAUGGGGACUGAGAUACGGCCCAGACUCCUAGGGGAGGCAGAAGUGGGGAAUAUUGCACAAGGGGCGGAAGCCUGAUGCAGCAACGCCGCGUGCGGGAUGACGGCCUUCGGGUUGUAAACCGCUUUCGCCUGUGACGAAGCGUGAGUGACGGUAAUGGGUAAAGAAGCACCGGCUAACUACG
rnacentral:rRNA from 1 species